UACAGAGGGUGCAAGCGUUAAUCGGAAUUACUGGGCGUAAAGGGCGCGUAGGUGGUUGCGUAAGUGAGAUGUGAAAUCCCCGGGCUUAACCUGGGACGUGCAUCUUAUACUGCGUAACUGGAGUGCAAUAGAGGGUAGUGGAAUUUCCGGUGUGGCGGUGAAAUGCGUAGAUAUCGGAAGGAACACCAGUGGCGAAGGCGGCUACCUGGAUUGACACUGACACUGAGGCGCGAAAGCGUGGGGAGCAAACAGG
rnacentral:rRNA from 1 species